CCCUUAGAUGUUCUGGGCCGCACGCGUGCUACACUGAGUGGAUCAGCGGGUCAGGUUGCGCGAAAGUGUUUCCUAAUCUUGAAAUCCGCUCGUGAUGGGGAUUGACGGUUGCAAUUUUCCGUCAUGAACGAGGAAUACCUUGUAAGCGCGGGUCAUCAUCCCGCGCUGACUACGUCCCUGCCCUUUGUACACACCGCCCGUCGCUCCUACCGAUUGAGUGGUCCGGUGAGGCUUUGGGAUCUGAGCGGAAAGAGCGUUUCGCUGUUUCUGCUCGGAAAACUCAGUCGAACCUUAUCAUUUAGAGGAAGGAGAAGUCGUAACA
rnacentral:rRNA from 1 species